UGCUCGAGUGGCGAACGGGUGAGUAACACGUGAGUAACCUGCCCUUGACUUUGGGAUAACUUCAGGAAACUGGGGCUAAUACCGGAUAGGAGCUCCUGCUGCAUGGUGGGGGUUGGAAAGUUUCGGCGGUUGGGGAUGGACUCGCGGCUUAUCAGCUUGUUGGUGGGGUAGUGGCUUACCAAGGCUUUGACGGGUAGCCGGCCUGAGAGGGUGUACGGCCACAUUGGGACUGAGAUACGGCCCAG
rnacentral:rRNA from 1 species